rnacentral:rRNA from 1 species
AAAUUGAAGAGUUUGAUCAUGGCUCAGAUUGAACGCUGGCGGCAGGCCUAACACAUGCAAGUCGAGCGGUAGCACAGAGAGCUUGCUCUCGGGUGACGAGCGGCGGACGGGUGAGUAAUGUCUGGGAAACUGCCUGAUGGAGGGGGAUAACUACUGGAAACGGUAGCUAAUACCGCAUAAUGUCGCAAGACCAAAGUGGGGGACCUUCGGGCCUCAUGCCAUCAGAUGUGCCCAGAUGGGAUUAGCUAGUAGGUGGGGUAACGGCUCACCUAGGCGACGAUCCCUAGCUGGUCUGAGAGGAUGACCAGCCACACUGGAACUGAGACACGGUCCAGACUCCUACGGGAGGCAGCAGUGGGGAAUAUUGCACAAUGGGCGCAAGCCUGAUGCAGCCAUGCCGCGUGUGUGAAGAAGGCCUUCGGGUUGUAAAGCACUUUCAGCGGGGAGGAAGGCGAUAAGGUUAAUAACCUUGUCGAUUGACGUUACCCGCAGAAGAAGCACCGGCUAACUCCGUGCCAGCAGCCGCGGUAAUACGGAGGGUGCAAGCGUUAAUCGGAAUUACUGGGCGUAAAGCGCACGCAGGCGGUCUGUCAAGUCGGAUGUGAAAUCCCCGGGCUCAACCUGGGAACUGCAUUCGAAACUGGCAGGCUAGAGUCUUGUAGAGGGGGGUAGAAUUCCAGGUGUAGCGGUGAAAUGCGUAGAGAUCUGGAGGAAUACCGGUGGCGAAGGCGGCCCCCUGGACAAAGACUGACGCUCAGGUGCGAAAGCGUGGGGAGCAAACAGGAUUAGAUACCCUGGUAGUCCACGCCGUAAACGAUGUCGAUUUGGAGGUUGUGCCCUUGAGGCGUGGCUUCCGGAGCUAACGCGUUAAAUCGACCGCCUGGGGAGUACGGCCGCAAGGUUAAAACUCAAAUGAAUUGACGGGGGCCCGCACAAGCGGUGGAGCAUGUGGUUUAAUUCGAUGCAACGCGAAGAACCUUACCUGGUCUUGACAUCCACAGAACUUAGCAGAGAUGCUUUGGUGCCUUCGGGAACUGUGAGACAGGUGCUGCAUGGCUGUCGUCAGCUCGUGUUGUGAAAUGUUGGGUUAAGUCCCGCAACGAGCGCAACCCUUAUCCUUUGUUGCCAGCGGUUAGGCCGGGAACUCAAAGGAGACUGCCAGUGAUAAACUGGAGGAAGGUGGGGAUGACGUCAAGUCAUCAUGGCCCUUACGACCAGGGCUACACACGUGCUACAAUGGCAUAUACAAAGAGAAGCGACCUCGCGAGAGUAAGCGGACCUCAUAAAGUAUGUCGUAGUCCGGAUUGGAGUCUGCAACUCGACUCCAUGAAGUCGGAAUCGCUAGUAAUCGUAGAUCAGAAUGCUACGGUGAAUACGUUCCCGGGCCUUGUACACACCGCCCGUCACACCAUGGGAGUGGGUUGCAAAAGAAGUAGGUAGCUUAACCUUCGGGAGGGCGCUUACCACUUUGUGAUUCAUGACUGGGGUGAAGUCGUAACAAGGUAACCGUAGGGGAACCUGCGGUUGGAUCACCUCCUUA